UACGAAGGGGGCUAGCGUUGCUCGGAAUCACUGGGCGUAAAGGGUGCGUAGGCGGGUCUUUAAGUCAGGGGUGAAAUCCUGGAGCUCAACUUCAGAACUGCCUUUGAUACUGAAGAUCUUGAGUUCGGGAGAGGUGAGUGGAACUGCGAGUGUAGAGGUGAAAUUCGUAGAUAUUCGCAAGAACACCAGUGGCGAAGGCGGCUCACUGGCCCGAUACUGACGCUGAUGCACGAAAGCGUGGGGAGCAAACAGG
rnacentral:rRNA from 1 species